rnacentral:rRNA from 1 species
GCCAGCAGCCACAUCACUCUGCAACUCACAGCUGGCAACCGCCUGAAGCUCAGCAGGUGUGAGCCUGGUCAGUACCUGGAUAGGAGACCUCCUGGGAAAAGGUCGCUGCUGGAA